AGGAAAAUCCCCAUUUAUUGUUUUUUAUGAUGCUGAUGUGCAUCAGGCCGUUGAUCUCGCACAUUUUUCCCUGUUCUUUAAUCAAGGACAAUGCUGUUGUGCUGGUUCAAGAACUUAUGUCCAUGAGCCUAUGUAUGACGAGUUUGUUGAGAAAGAGAAGGCACGUGCAAUGAAACGUGUUGUUGGCGAUCCAUUCAAGGCAGGCAUUGAACAAGGCCCACAGAUUGACCCAGAAAAAUUUAACAAGGUCCUGAGUUACAUAAGAUCUGGAAAAUAAAGUGGAG